UGCUAAGCUCACUUAGACCUAUGAGUCUUCUAGCCCAGGAUUUUGACAUUGACCAGAGCGGGGCGGUCAGAGUGCGUUCCAAGAAACCCUGCAACAAGCAGUUAGGUUAUCCCUUAUCUCCAAAAAAGUUUCCAUUCCUCCCUCUGUAAUUAGAGGUUAGCUAACGCCUCAAAUCAUGAGAGUUUAUAUCUUUCCUGAGACCUCAUUUCAAAAAUAACUUUAAAUAUUUACUGCCGUAACUCUGGUCGUGCUCGUUACGAAAGUCCAAUCGUGGCUGGAGUUUUGCCAGGGUUUUAUUAUCUCUCAGCUUCAUCCCAUUUUCCUGCUGCAUGAUGAUCUAAGGGUGGGUGAGAGCAAUGAUUUAUACGAUAACCCAAAAAAAGAAUGGUAGCUGUUUUGGGAAAUCGUCAGAAAGCAACUAACUUUUCCUAUAUAUAGUUUUUUCCAUGUCAUGUAACUCACUGCAGCAGGAGCACAGGCUUUGGCAUUGCGUGGCGAGCCGUGGGUUUGUUUUCCACCCUGAUGGCUCUGUGUUGGUGGAGAUCCUGAGGCCGGGGCCCUCCUGCUAGCUGUGAUGUGCUGCUGGCCCGGAGCCACCCCAGGUGCUGGGGUCCGAGACCUGGUCUGGAGCAGCCCCUUCCCCAUUGCCUUCCCUUUCCUCUCUCUUCAUGCACUCAGGGUCGAUCUCCGGGGCAGAGCUGCAAACGUUGGCCUGCAGGGUGCAGACAAGAGGACCGGCGAAGACCCAGGCACGGAAAUAUUGGGGCUGUGAAAUUUUGGAAGGCCUGUGAACAGCAUGCUGGGGAGCUCGUGCAGCCUGGAGCAGCUCAUUGUACAGGUCUGUGUGUCAGCGCACCAUAUGGGGACAUUACCCAGACUGGGGUCACAAGGGCGACCUUUACUCAUCGCUCUGCCACUGAGCUGGACAUGCAGCAAAACGGAGAUGCCGUCUGCAUGCCAAAUGAGGUCAGUAUUCCCGAUCUUCCCUUUCCUCUGCUUUCGGACCCAUUGAUCACUGUCACGGAGUGUCUGCUGGGUCUCCCCUGAAAUAAAGCCUUGUUCUGCUGCUUGCUCUCCA
ensembl:lncRNA